rnacentral:rRNA from 1 species
AUGAACGCUGGCGGCGUGCCUAAUACAUGCAAGUCGAGCGAACGGACGAGAAGCUUGCUUCUCUGAUGUUAGCGGCGGACGGGUGAGUAACACGUGGAUAACCUACCUAUAAGACUGGGAUAACUUCGGGAAACCGGAGCUAAUACCGGAUAAUAUUUUGAACCGCAUGGUUCAAAAGUGAAAGACGGUCUUGCUGUCACUUAUAGAUGGAUCCGCGCUGCAUUAGCUAGUUGGUAAGGUAACGGCUUACCAAGGCAACGAUGCAUAGCCGACCUGAGAGGGUGAUCGGCCACACUGGAACUGAGACACGGUCCAGACUCCUACGGGAGGCAGCAGUAGGGAAUCUUCCGCAAUGGGCGAAAGCCUGACGGAGCAACGCCGCGUGAGUGAUGAAGGUCUUCGGAUCGUAAAACUCUGUUAUUAGGGAAGAACAUAUGUGUAAGUAACUGUGCACAUCUUGACGGUACCUUAUCAGAAAGCCACGGCUAACUACGUG